GGGAUGAUGCAUGGGCAUAUAGCCAGUGCAGUGUCGCAGGGAAAGCCGUUAAGUCUGCCGCUGGGGAAGUACGUACGCAAGUAUGAAACUUAAGGAAAUUGGCGGGGGAGCACCACAAGGGGUGAAGCCUGCGGUUCAAUUGGAGUCAACGCCAGAAAUCUUACCCGGAGAGACAGCAGAAUGAAGGUCAAGCUGAAGACUUUACCAGACAAGCUGAGAGGUGGUGCAUGGCCGUCGCCAGCUCGUGCCGUGAGAUGUCCUGUUAAGUCAGGUAACGAGCGAGAUCCUCGCCACUAGUUGCUAUCAUUAUUCUCAGGAAUAGUGGGGCGAAUUAGUGGGACUGCCGUUGUUAAAACGGAGGAAGGAGGGGGCUACGGCAGGUCAGUAUGCCCCGAAACUCUGGGGCCACACGCGGGCUGCAAUGGUAGCGACAAUGAGCUCCAAACUCGAAAGAGAGUGGCAAUCUCUAAACGCUACCACAGUUAUGACUGAGGGCUGUAACUCGCCCUCACGAAUAUGGAAUCCCUAGUAACCGCGUGUCAUUACCGCGCGGUGAAUACGUCCCUGCUCCUUGCACACACCGCCCGUCGUUUCAUCGAAGUUUGCUUUUAGCGAGGUGAUGUUUAAUUGACAUUAUCGAACUUGAGGUAAGUGACGAGGGAAAAGUCGUAACAAGGUGACCGUAGGGGAACCUGCGGUCG
rnacentral:rRNA from 1 species